rnacentral:rRNA from 1 species
GAACGAGAAAGUGGAGCAAUCCAUGAGUAAAGUGGCGACCGGGUGAGUAACACGUGACUAACCUACCUCCGAGUGGGGAAUAACUCCGGGAAACCGGGGCUAAUACCGCAUAACAUCGCGAGAUCAAAGCAGCAAUGCGCUUGGAGAGGGGGUCGCGGCUGAUUAGCUAGUUGGCGGGGUAACGGCCCACCAAGGCGAAGAUCGGUAUCCGGCCUGAGAGGGCGCACGGACACACUGGAACUGAAACACGGUCCAGACUCCUACGGGAGGCAGCAGUGGGGAAUUUUGCGCAAUGGGGGAAACCCUGACGCAGCAACGCCGCGUGGAGGAUGAAGCCCUUUGGGGCGUANACUCCUUUCGACCAAGACGAUAAUGACGGUACUGGUGGAAGAAGCACCGGCUAACUCUGUG